ACACACACAGAGAGAGCCAUGUUAUUUUGCACCCAAAAAGCAACCAAUAUUGUUUUGUCACAGGCAACACCUGGGAUAAGAAAACCUUUCUGAGAGCAAGCAGCCCUACAUCCUUCCCCAUUCUGUGAGAAAGACAAUUGUUUAGUGAGCAGAAGAGACUGCAAAUAAGAUACAUUCUCUGGAAACUGGGGACAAAGAAAUAAUUUGCGUCAGCAGAAGCAGACUAUAUUUAAAACCUUCUGUUCACAUCUCUGGAAUAUUACUGUUCUUUGGAUCCUCAACAUCAAAUAAUAAUGAAAAUCAAACUCUAAUCUUUGGUUGUAUUUCCCAGAAAGUUGGACUUUUCUCCUUUAAUAUAUAUUUCAAUCUGAGAAAACGACAUCUCAGCAAAAUGAAAACAAAUGACAGUGCUAUCGCCAACGAGACAAUGUAUUAUUUUAAAAUGUAUGAAAUGGUCCAUGCUCUGCCCUAUGACAGUUAAGUGUUCAAAAUGAGACAGCUAAAAAAAAAUGUAGUUAACUCGUUCAAGGAGAUAUGAAAGUGAGGCUCCUUUAUAAUGUUCAUCCCUCCUAUGUGUAGACAAAGAGGUACAGAGAAGAGAAAACCGUGGAUUAAAAUAAAUGUUCUCAGUGCAGAAAAUGAAAUGAACGCAGCAGGCUUUGUGUCAGAAAAGACAAAUACUGGGUUUUGGAGGGUUGUUUCAAUGUCAUUUAACGCACACACAUGCACACACAGAUGCCAUUGGAUAACAUAAUUAAUUAAAGGUACUAACAGAUG